GAUGAACGCUAGCGGCAGGCUUAAUACAUGCAAGUCGAGGGGCAGCAUGAUUGUAGCAAUACAAUUGAUGGCGACCGGCAAACGGGUGCGGAACACGUACACAACCUUCCAACAAGUGGGGGAUAGCCCAGAGAAAUUUGGAUUAAUACCCCGUAACAUAGCGAUGUGGCAUCACAUUGCUAUUAUAGAUUUUUCGCUUGUUGAUGGGUGUGCGGCUGAUUAGAUAGUUGGCGGGGUAACGGCCCACCAAGUCUACGAUCAGUAGCGGAUGUGAGAGCAUGAUCAGCCACACGGGCACUGAGACACGGGCCCGACUCCUACGGGAGGCAGCAGUAAGGAAUAUUGGACAAUGGACGCAAGUCUGAUCCAGCCAUGCCGCGUGAAGGAUUAAGGUCCUCUGGAUUGUAAACUUCUUUUAUAAGGGACGAAAAAAGGCUUUUCUAAGUCGUCUGACGGUACCUUAUGAAUAAGCACCGGCUAACUCCGUGCCAGCAGCCGCAGUAAAAC
rnacentral:rRNA from 1 species